rnacentral:rRNA from 1 species
CACGCUGUAAACGAUGAACACUAGGUGUUGGGGGUACCAAUUCCUUCAGUGCCGUAGCUAACGCGUUAAGUGUUCCGCCUGGGAAGUACGGCCGCAAGGCUAAAACUCAAAGGAAUUGACGGGGGCCCGCACAAGCGGUGGAGUAUGUGGUUUAAUUCGACGCAACGCGCAGAACCUUACCCAGGCUUGACAUGGAGGGAAUCUGGUGGAAACACCGGAGUGCCUGGUUUACCAGGAGCCCUCACACAGGUGC